GCCUGGCUGGCUCAGUUGGUAGAGCAUGCAACUAUUGAUCUUGGGGUCAUGAGUUUAAGUCCCAUGUUGGGCC
rnacentral:tRNA from 1 species